rnacentral:rRNA from 1 species
UACAGAGGUGGCAAGCGUUGUUCGGAAUUACUGGGCGUAAAGGGCGCGUAGGCGGUUCGUUAAGUCCUGUGUGAAAUCCACCGGCUCAACUGGGGAACUGCACAGGAAACUAGCGGGCUUGAGUUCGGGAGAGGGAAGCGGAAUUCCGGGUGUAGCGGUGAAAUGCGUAGAUAUCCGGAGGAACACCGGUGGCGAAGGCGGCUUCCUGGACCGACACUGACGCUGAGGCGCGAAAGCUAGGGGAGCAAACGGG